rnacentral:lncRNA from 1 species
ACAACAUGCAUCUGGCUGAAAACAUUUCUCCACCGUCCCCUGCUUGCCAUAUUCCAGGAAGUGCAGACUUGGGAUCUGGACCACUGGACCGUGUGCAAAAGAAUCCUCACAAGCAUGGUCUUUGAUCCGUUCAACAGGGGAUCAGACCAAGCUAUAAUUCCAUGGUCUUUGAUAAACUUCAAGUCUCCACCUACCUUGUGCCUGGGCAGGAUUUGGCAGUGGUUUCUUGGAUAUAACAUCAAAGGCACAGGCAACAAAAGAAAAACAGACCAACUGGAGUUUAUGAAAAUUAAACUGUAAGUCCUUCAUCCUUAAUUUUUUUUUUUUUUUUGGUUUUUCUCUGGUUCCAGGAACCGAAGGCAGGCGCUUUUGCCGCUGAGCUAAAUCCCCAGCCCCUCCAUCCUU